UACGGAGGGGGCUAGCGUUGUUCGGAAUUACUGGGCGUAAAGCGCACGUAGGCGGCUUUGUAAGUCAGAGGUGAAAGCCUGGAGCUUAACUCCAGAACUGCCUUUGAGACUGCAUCGCUCGAAUCCGGGAGAGGUGAGUGGAAUUCCGAGUGUAGAGGUGAAAUUCGUAGAUAUUCGGAAGAACACCAGUGGCGAAGGCGGCUCACUGGACCGGCAUUGACGCUGAGGCUCGAAAGCAUGGGUAGCGAACAGG
rnacentral:rRNA from 1 species